AUCAACUUUCGAUGGUAGGAUAGAGGCCUACCAUGGUGGUAACGGGUAACGGGGUGUUAGGGCACGACACCGGAGAGGGAGCCUGAGAAACGGCUACCACAUCCAAGGAUGGCAGCAGGCGCGCAAAUUACCCAAUCCCGACACGGGGAGGUAGUGACAAUAAAUAACAAUACGGGGUUCUUUUGGAUCUCGUAAUUGGAAUGAGUACAAUUUAAAUCUCUUAACGAGGAACAAUUGGAGGGCAAGUCUGGUGCCAGCAGCCGCGGUAAUUCCAGCUCCAAUAGCGUAUAUUAAAGUUGUUGCAGUUAAAAAGCUCGUAGUUGAAUUUCGGGGUUAGUAGGUUGGUCAUGCCUCUGGUAUGUACUGGUCUCACUGAUUCCUCCUUCCUGAUGAACCGUAAUGCCAUUAAUUUGGUGUUGCGGGGAAUUUGGACUGUUACUUUGAAAAAAUUAGAGUGUUUAAAGCAAGCUAACGCUUGAAUACAUUAGCAUGGAAUAAUGAAAUAGGACGUUCGAUCCUAUUUUGUUGGUUUCUAGGAUUGACGUAAUGAUUAAUAGGGAUAGUUGGGGGCAUUAGUAUUCAAUUGUCAGAGGUGAAAUUCUUGGAUUUAUUGAAGACUAACUACUGCGAAAGCAUUUGCCAAGGAUGUUUUCAUUAAUCAAGAACGAAAGUUAGGGGAUCGAAGACGAUCAGAUACCGUCGUAGUCUUAACCAUAAACUAUGCCGACUAGGGAUCGGAUGAUGUUAAUUUUUUAAUGACUCAUUCGGCGCCUUACGGGAAACCAAAGUGUUUGGGUUC
rnacentral:rRNA from 1 species